rnacentral:rRNA from 1 species
UACGUAGGAGGCGAGCGUUGUCCGGAAUCAUUGGGCGUAAAGCGCGUGUAGGCGGUCCGGUAAGUCCGCUGUGAAAGUCGGGGGCUCAACCCUCGGAUGCCGGUGGAUACUGUCGGGCUUGAGUACGGAAGAGGCGAGUGGAAUUCCUGGUGUAGCGGUGAAAUGCGCAGAUAUCAGGAGGAACACCAAUUGCGAAGGCAGCUCGCUGGGACGUUACUGACGCUGAGACGCGAAAGCGUGGGGAGCAAACAGG